AUGGGCCCGAGGCCGUCUCGAAGUGGUAGCUGGACACCAGAUCCUUCUCCUGAGAGCUUGACUCAUGGCCCUGUCGCAUGUCUGUCACCCCCCGAAGUUGGGAAGGACGCAUGUACUGCACCCCUUUAUGCAACCCCAGAUGGCCUCGGGGUCCACCCACGUGUGGACGAUCCUGAAGCCCGAAAGCACCCAUUCCACCCACAUGUCCACGAUCAAAUAUUUACCAGGAGUCCUCGACUUCGGCCUCUGUGUUUAUGUACACAGCAUAUUUCUUCUCCACUCAGAGGCUCUGUUUACCCCCGAAACAGACUUCCCCAGUGCACUGUUUGGUUACGAACAAAUUCAGUGGCAAGACCUCGGACGCGUUGGAGAGCGCGGAGUUUUUCCAUCAUUAAUCCCGUUCAGAUAUUAAGUCAACACCGUGACACGAGGCGCCGGACAUUUUCCUGGAAACUACUUGCCUUGAUUCGGUGGGGACAAUGCGUUUCCUCCGGACCCGAACCUGCGCGGUGUGCACAGGGAUUCAAAUCGUCGCCUUUCACGACCAUCUGGACUUCGGGGAAGAAGCCGGACGGACUGGGCCAGGGCCCACGUGAGGUGUGAGGACGCAGCUCUCCCCAAGACGGCGCUGACAGAUGCCCCGCAGACAGUGCAGCUGCAGUGGGCUGAUGCACUUCCUCUCCGUGAAGGCCCGUGCCUCGGUGCCGCUGUGCCAAGGACGCCUUGGAUGUGCAGGCUGUCCUGGCCCUUGGCCAGUACUCUGCCUGGUGCUCUCCACGUCAGAGUCACACAGAUCUCCAAACCCCGGUGUUCCAGAGUGACCGCGACCAGCACCUUCCCUGUGCUUUCGGAAUGCAGAAAUCACAAGGUCGGCUUUGUCAGCAUCAGCGUCCUACCUUUUUGGCGCAGGACGGAGGUUGGCUGUGGCUUCUGCUGUCUUCGGGGCCGGGAAACGUCAUCAGACUCGUAGAUACUCUGAGAUUCUUGCGCCCCACAGGCAGCAGCUUUCUCCCAGGUCGUCCAGUUCCCUUCCCUUUGGACCCCGCCGUCUUUAAAUUCUCACGGACGAUGUGGGACGACACGGACUCCCCCGCUCACUGGGAACGGAGGCGGCCAGGCUUUGACGCCGUGUGCGCGUCUCGGGGACGUUCCUUUCCCUCCACCUGCUCUGGUAUUUUUGAGGUUUUGCUCCUGGGAUUUCAUCGGCCCACAGCGCUCUUCCCCGGCUCGUCUGGCUGACAAAAUCCGUCUUUAAGGCUCUGCCUGUCGCAUGCGCUUGCUGCCUGCUCCGCAUCUCCACCUGCGCGGCCAUCGAUUCCGUUUCAUUGACUGCAAAGUGCGAGAGUGCAGGGCCUCCAGCUCUCUAACUCAGGGGCUGGGGUCUUUGUUUGUACAUUGUUUUUAAAGACAUAUUUUCCAAAUGCAAGACAUCAUUUUUCUUCAAUUCCCCCAAACUCUGCUUAGAGUUUGUUGCUCUUAAAGGUCAAAAUUUGUAACACACCUGUCAUCCCAACACUUGGGAGGCUGAGGCAGGAGGAUCGCUGCAAGUUUGAGACCAGCCUGGGCUACAUAGUGAAUUCCAGGUCAGUCUCAACUACAUAGUGAGACCCUGCCUCAAAAGCCAAAAACACCCAGAAAACCAACCAACCCACCAAACAAAAACAAAGUCAAAAUCUGUAUGCCAGACCUGGGUUCUUUUCUAAGCUAAUAUAGUGACCCUGCCUCAAAAGCCAAAAACACCCAGAAAACCAACCAACCCACCAAACAAAAACAAAGUCAAAAUCUGUAUGCCAGACCUGGGUUCUUUUCUAAGCUGUUGUACUUCAAAGUAAAAGCAAAAAGAAAUAAAUUAUAGAAAAUAGAAUCAAGAUACAGAAUCAAUAUGAGCUGAUU
ensembl:lincRNA